AACAUAUAUUUAAAUAAUAAAGUUUGCUUUGCAAGCAAAAAUUGAUAAUCCCUAUCUAUGUUUA
rnacentral:tRNA from 1 species